rnacentral:rRNA from 1 species
UUACGGGAGGCAGCAGUCGAGAAUUUUUCACAAUGGGCGCAAGCCUGAUGGAGCGACGCCGCGUGGGGGAUGAAUGGCUUCGGCCCGUAAACCCCUGUCAUUCGCGAUCAAACCUUAGUAUUUAAAAGAUGCUGAGCUGAUAGUAGCGGAAGAGGAAGGGACGGCUAACUCUGUGCCAGCAGCCGCGGUAAUACAGAGGUCCCGAGCGUUGUUCGGAUUCACUGGGCGUAAAGGGUGCGUAGGUGGUGAGGUAAGUCGGAUGUGAAAUCUCGGAGCUCAACUCCGAAACGGCAUUGGAAACUACCUUGCUGGAGGGUUGGAGGGGGGACUGGAAUUCUCGGUGUAGCAGUGAAAUGCGUAGAUAUCGAGAGGAACACCGGUGGCGAAGGCGAGUCCCUGGACAACACCUGACACUGAGGCACGAAAGCUAGGGGAGCAAACAGGAUUAGAUACCCUGGU